UACGUAGGGUGCAAGCGUUGUCCGGAAUUAUUGGGCGUAAAGGGCUCGUAGGCGGUCCAUCGCGUCGGGAGUGAAAAGCUGGGGCUUAACCCCAGUCCUGCUUCCGAUACGGGUGGACUAGAGGUAGGCAGGGGAGAACGGAAUUCCUGGUGUAGCGGUGAAAUGCGCAGAUAUCAGGAGGAACACCGGUGGCGAAGGCAGCUCUCUGGGACGGUACUGACGCUGAGACGCGAAAGCGUGGGGAGCGAACAGG
rnacentral:rRNA from 1 species